rnacentral:rRNA from 1 species
AGACAUAAAAGGUGGCUUCGGCUACCACUUACAGAUGGACCCGCGGCGCAUUAGCUAGUUGGUGAGGUAACGGCUCACCAAGGCGACGAUGCGUAGCCGACCUGAGAGGGUGAUCGGCCACACUGGGACUGAGACACGGCCCAGACUCCUACGGGAGGCAGCAGUAGGGAAUCUUCCGCAAUGGACGAAAGUCUGACGGAGCAACGCCGCGUGAGUGAUGAAGGUUUUCGGAUCGUAAAGCUCUGUUGUUAGGGAAGAACAAGUGCCGUUCAAAUAGGGCGGCACCUUGACGGUACCUAACCAGAAAGCCACGGCUAACUACGUGCCAGCAGCCGCGGUAAUACGUAGGUGGCAAGCGUUGUCCGGAAUUAUUGGGCGUAAAGGGCUCGCAGGCGGUUUCUUAAGUCUGAUGUGAAAGCCCCCGGCUCAACCGGGGAGGGUCAUUGGAAACUGGGGAACUUGAGUGCAGAAGAGGAGAGUGGAAUUCCACGUGUAGCGGUGAAAUGCGUAGAGAUGUGGAGGAACACCAGUGGCGAAGGCGACUCUCUGGUCUGUAACUGACGCUGAGGAGCGAAAGCGUGGGGAGCGAACAGGAUUAGAUACCCUGGUAGUCCACGCCGUAAACGAUGAGUGCUAAGUGUU